GUGACGAAGCGACGCCGCGUGUGGGAAGAAGGCCUUCGGGUUGUAAACCACUGUCAGGAGUUAAGAAAUGUAAGGGUGCUAAUAGUAUCCUUACUUGACUAAGGCUCCAGAGGAAGCCACGGCUAACUCUGUGCCAGCAGCCGCGGUAAUACAGAGGUGGCAAGCGCUGUUCGGAAUUAUUGGGCGUAAAGAGCACGUAGGCGGUUCUGCAAGUCGGCUGUGAAAGCCUUCCGCUCAACGGAAGAACAGCAGUGGAUACUACAGGACUAGAGUGCGGGAGGGGAGAGUGGAACUUCUGGUGGAGCGGUGAAAUGCGUAGAUAUCAGAAGGAACGCCGGCGGCGAAAGCGACUCUCUGGCCCGUAACUGACGCUGAGUGUGCGAAAGCUAGGGGAGCAAACGGGAUUAGAUACCCCGGUAGUCCUAGCCGUAAACGAU
rnacentral:rRNA from 1 species